UACGGAAGGGGCAAGCGUUGUUCGGAUUCAUUGGGCGUAAAGGGUGCGUAGGUGGCGCGGUAAGUCGGGUGUGAAAUUUCGGAGCUUAACUCCGAAACUGCAUUCGAUACUGCCGUGCUUGAGGACUGGAGAGGAGACUGGAAUUUACGGUGUAGCAGUGAAAUGCGUAGAUAUCGUAAGGAAGACCAGUGGCGAAGGCGGGUCUCUGGACAGUUCCUGACACUGAGGCACGAAGGCCAGGGGAGCAAACGGG
rnacentral:rRNA from 1 species